GUUGUCCGGAUUUAUUGGGUUUAAAGGGUGCGUAGGUGGUCUUGUAAGUCAGUGCUGAAAUAUCCCGGCUUAACCGGGAGGGUGGCAUUGAUACUGCAGGACUUGAGUAAAGUUGAGGUAGGCGGAAUUGACGGUGUAGCGGUGAAAUGCUUAGAUAUCGUCAAGAACACCUAUUGCGAAGGCAGCUUACUAAGCUUUAACUGACACUGAGGCACGAAAGUGUGGGGAUCAAACAGG
rnacentral:rRNA from 1 species